GGUCAAGCGAACAAGUGCAUGUGGUGGAUGCCUUGGCGAUCACAGGCGAUGAAGGGCGCGGUAGCCUGCGAAAAGCUACGGGGAGCUGGCAAACGAGCUUUGAUCCGUAGAUGUCCGAAUGGGGAAACCCACUCCUUUUGGAGUAUCCAUGGCUGAAUACAUAGGCCAUGUGAAGCGAACGCG
rnacentral:rRNA from 1 species